rnacentral:rRNA from 1 species
UACGGGGGGAGCAAGCGUUGUUCGGAUUUACUGGGCGUAAAGGGCGCGUAGGCGGCCACUGCAAGUCAGUUGUGAAAUCUCCGGGCUUAACCCGGAAAGGUCAACUGAUACUGCAGGGCUAGAGUGCAGAAGGGGCAACUGGAAUUCUCGGUGUAGCGGUGAAAUGCGUAGAUAUCGAGAGGAACGCCUGCGGCGAAGGCGGGUUGCUGGGCUGACACUGACGCUGAUGUGCGAAAGCUAGGGGAGCGAACGGG